rnacentral:miRNA from 1 species
GUCCUCUUUGACCGGAAGGAAACCCUUCCGGUCAACGAGGCCUCUUUGACAGGAAGGAAACCCUUCCGGUCAACGAGGCCUCUUUGACAGGAAGGAAACCCUUCUGGUCAAUGAGGCCUCUUUGACAUGAAGGAAACCCUUCCGGUCAACGAGGCC